GAGUUUGAUCGUGGCUCAGAUUGAACGCUGGCGGCAGGCCUAACACAUGCAAGUCGAGCGGAUGACGGGAGCUUGCUCCUUGAUUCAGCGGCGGACGGGUGAGUAAUGCCUAGGAAUCUGCCUGGUAGUGGGGGACAACGUUUCGAAAGGAACGCUAAUACCGCAUACGUCCUACGGGAGAAAGCAGGGGACCUUCGGGCCUUGCGCUAUCCAGAUGAGCCUAGGUCGGAUUAGCUAGUUGGUGGGGUAAUGGCUCACCAAGGCGACGAUCCGUAACUGGUCUGAGAGGAUGAUCAGUCACACUGGAACUGAGACACGGUCCAGACUCCUACGGGAGCAGCAGUGGGGAUAUUGGACAAUGGGCGAAAGCCUGAUCCAGCCAUGCCGCGUGUGUGAGAAGGUCUUCGGAUUGUAAAGCACUUUAAGUUGGGAGAAGGGCAGUAAGUUAAUACCUUGCUGUUUUGACGUUACCGACAGAAUAAGCACCGGCUAACUCUGUGCCAGCAG
rnacentral:rRNA from 1 species